GUUCUAGAACCCCUGAUCUCCUAGCAACGAGGCUGCGGAACCUCUGCAGACUCCAAGGGUUUUAUAGCGUCCGGUAGCGACACGGAGCCGGCUCCCCCUUUUCCAGCCUUCCUCCCCAUCUCCCAUUCUCCAUCCCCCACGACCUAUACCAGAGGUCCUUAGGCCUCCACGUCUCUCCUUUUGCCGAGUAGCCCAAGGUUUCCACCCAUCUGCCAGGGGGAUGGCGUCCACUCCGAUGGGGAAUGAGGGGGAGAAGAAGAGCAGCUGGCCAUCUCAAGCUGCACCCUCCUUGAGAGGAGGUCCGCAUUCUUCACCAAGACCUGAGGCACAGACACCUGGUGAGUGAGGCUUCAAGGGAGAUGCUCUUUGUCCUGGGAGAGAGAACAUGCCUCAAAACUACUCUUUUGCCACUCGUUAACCACUUCCGUUUGUGGGGACCUCCUGGUCAUGAGCAGCAUCAUCCCGAAGCCUUCAAAGUGUUCUGGAUUCAUCACAGGACCCUCCAGCCUCAGCCAGCAAGGAUACCACCAGGAAUGAAAGUGCUUUAAUAAAGAGACAGGGUGUGCAUUGCUCAUGUGUGGUUUCUCUGGGGUAGAGAAGCAGGACGGGGGGGCUUUUAUUUUUUUUUCUAGAUGUGGG
rnacentral:lncRNA from 1 species